GUUGGAAGGAGAAAACCCGCGCUUGGGCGGACAAGGAUUUUUUUUACCUGCACAUUUUUAUUUUUGAGCCCCCGUUUUUUUUGUCAUACUCAGUCGUCGUCAGGACGCAAGAUUUCAGAGACAAGGAGACGAGAAGAGCCCCGCUCGUCUGCCUUCAUUUCAAAACUCGCACAUCAUCCAAAAUUUAAGUGUCUGAAAACAUGUUUAGGACUCCCUAUAGGGCUAGUUUAGGAUGAUAUGACAAACGACCGUGAUGAACUCGUCAGAUUAAGGUAGUUAGGACUCAAUGCGUGAGAUAAACGCUUAGCCAAUCCCCCUCAGUAUCUGCCCCGAAACAUGUUCGCACAUUUUAUUUUUGUCACCGCUCAAUGUGGAGCACUAUGGAAAAGAAGAAGAUUAAUGGUGGAUGAAGAUUCAGAAG
rnacentral:lncRNA from 1 species